rnacentral:rRNA from 1 species
UACGAGGGAGGCUAGCGUUGUCCGGAAUCAUUGGGCGUAAAGCGCGCGUAGGCGGCCCGGUAAGUCCGUUGUGAAAGUCAAAGGCUCAACCUUUGAAAGCCGAUGGAUACUGCCGGGCUGGAGUCCGGAAGAGGCGAGUGGAAUUCCUGGUGUAGCGGUGGAAUGCGCAGAUAUCAGGAGGAACACCAAUAGCGAAGGCAGCUCGCUGGGACGGUACUGACGCUGAGGCGCGAAAGCGUGGGGAGCGAACAGG